ACAGCCAUAUCACGUUGAAAUGUUGCUUCUCGUAAGAUCACCGAAGUUAAGCAACAUCGAGCCUGGUCAGUACCUAGAUGGGUGACUGCUUGGAGAUACCAAGUGCUGUAA